GUGAGGAAUAUUGGACAAUGGGCGCAAGCCUGAUCCAGCCAUGCCGCGUGCAGGAAGACGCAUCUAUGGUGUGUAAACUGCUUUUGUACGGGAAGAAACACUCCCUCGUGAGGGAGCUUGACGGUACCGUAAGAAUAAGGAUCGGCUAACUCCGUGCCAGCAGCCGCGGUAAUACGGAGGAUCCAAGCGUUAUCCGGAAUCAUUGGGUUUAAAGGGUCCGUAGGCGGUUUAAUAAGUCAGUGGUGAAAGCCCAUCGCUCAACGAUGGAACGGCCAUUGAUACUGUUAGACUUGAAUUACAAGGAAGUAACUAGAAUAUGUAGUGUAGCGGUGAAAUGCUUAGAUAUUUCAUGGAAUACCAAUUGCGAAGGCAGGUUACUACUUGUGGAUUGACGCUGAUGGACGAAAGCGUGGGGAGCGAACAGGAUUAGAUACCCCUGUAGUCC
rnacentral:rRNA from 1 species